rnacentral:rRNA from 1 species
AACGCGAAGAACCUUACCCAGGUUAGAAGUGCAGGGGACGAUAUCAGAGAUGAUAUUUUCCGAAAGGACCGCUGCAUAGGUGCUGCAUGGCUGUCGUCAGCUCGUGCCGUGAGGUGUUGGGUUAAGUCCCGCAACGAGCGCAACCCUUAUCAUUAGUUGCCAACAUUUGAGGUGGGGACUCUAAUGAGACUGCCUAGGUUAACUAGGAGGAAGGUGGGAG